rnacentral:tRNA from 1 species
GGCUCCAUGGUGUAAUGGUUAGCACUCUGGACUCUGAAUCCAGCGAUCCGAGUUCGAAUCUCGGUGGGGCCU